rnacentral:rRNA from 1 species
UACGAAGGGGGCUAGCGUUGCUCGGAAUCACUGGGCGUAAAGCGCACGUAGGCGGACUCUUAAGUCGGUGGUGAAAUCCUGGAGCUCAACUCCAGAACUGCCUUCGAUACUGAGAGUCUCGAGUCCGGGAGAGGUGAGUGGAACUGCGAGUGUAGAGGUGAAAUUCGUAGAUAUUCGCAAGAACACCAGUGGCGAAGGCGGCUCACUGGCCCGGUACUGACGCUGAGGUGCGAAAGCGUGAGGAGCAAACAGG